GAUGAACGCUGGCGGCGUGCCUAAUACAUGCAAGUCGAGCGAACAGACGAGGAGCUUGCUCCUCUGACGUUAGCGGCGGACGGGUGAGUAACACGUGGAUAACCUACCUAUAAGACUGGGAUAACUUCGGGAAACCGGAGCUAAUACCGGAUAAUAUAUUGAACCGCAUGGUUCAAUAGUGAAAGACGGUUUUGCUGUCACUUAUAGAUGGAUCCGCGCCGCAUUAGCUAGUUGGUAAGGUAACGGCUUACCAAGGCAACGAUGCGUAGCCGACCUGAGAGGGUGAUCGGCCACACUGGAACUGGGACACGGUCCAGACUCCUACGGGAGGCAGCAGUAGGGAAUCUUCCGCAAUGGGCGAAAGCCUGACGGGGCAACGCCGCGUGGGUGAUGAGGGUCUUCGGAUCUUAAAACUCUGUUAUUAGGGAAGAACAAAUGUGUAAGUAACUAUGCACGUCUUGACGGUACCUAAUCAGAAAGCCACGGCUAACUACGUG
rnacentral:rRNA from 1 species